UUGCUAUAUCAGCUGUUCUGUCAGCUGUUCCAUUUCGCGUGGCGUCGGACCUGAGGAUGGUAGCUUGAAAUUGACGUCUCCUUUCUUGAAAUUCCAAUUCCAAUUUCGUAUGCUUGGACAUGGAUUUUUUAAAUAAAAUCCAUUCUAGGUUGUGAAAGGAGGAGUAUGGCUUGGCUUCACCAGCACGUUUUUCAUCUCCGUUAGGCAAAUGCACCCAUCUUGGUAGCAAAGGUGCUACAUAAAAAAAGUCUUUCAUCUUUGGGAUGUACGUGAUAUGCUGUGGUAGAUGCAGAAUCAUUCUGUGAUAAAAAGGAAUGCCAUCAAUGCUCUGUUGUCAGUGUAAUAAAAGAUUAUCAAUAUCA